rnacentral:rRNA from 1 species
AUUGAACGCUGGCGGCAGGCUUAACACAUGCAAGUCGAGCGGGGUGAUGGUGCUUGCACUAUCACUUAGCGGCGGACGGGUGAGUAAUGCUUAGGAAUCUGCCUAUUAGUGGGGGACAACAUCUCGAAAGGGAUGCUAAUACCGCAUACAUCCUACGGGAGAAAGCAGGGGAUCACUUGUGACCUUGCGCUAAUAGAUGAGCCUAAGUCGGAUUAGCUAGUUGGUGGGGUAAAGGCCUACCAAGGCGACGAUCUGUAGCGGGUCUGAGAGGAUGAUGCGCCACACUGGGACUGAGACACUGCCCGGACUCCUACGGGAGGCAGCAGUGGGGAAUAUUGGACAAUGGGGGGAACCCUGAUCCAGCCAUGCCGCGUGUGUGAAGAGGGCCUUAUGGUUGUAAAGCACUUUAAGCGAGGAGGAGGCUCUUUUGGUUAAUACCCAAGAUGAGUGGACGUUACUCGCAGAAUAAGCACCGGCUAACUCUGUGCCAGCAGCCGCCGUAAGAC